GGGCAAACGCCCGCUCGAGGAACCUGAGGCAACGGCGGACUCGCCCAUUCAUCCUCAAGACCAGGGCUUCCACAUUCCUCCGCAAGAGGCUACUUCGGCCUUCGUAAGUAUCUUCUUACGUCUUUCCUUGAUUGCUUUUCUACUUUAGAAUUCUAAACGAGGACAAUACUAAAUGUCAGGUGCCUUUACAUUCUUUUCACCGC
rnacentral:lncRNA from 1 species